rnacentral:sRNA from 1 species
UCAGAGGGGAGAGGGUGCACGCCCUGGUGUGAAGAAUGACGAUAACAGAGAAAGUAAUCCAAACUCUCGGGGGCGUUCCGGCUGAGCUGUGACAUCAAAACCUUUUAUUCAUUAUGUCUAACAUAUAUCUCACAAUUCUUUUGUUUAGGACGGACUCCUUAAAAUGUCUACCUUUACUACGU